rnacentral:rRNA from 1 species
CGAACGUUGGCGGCGUGCUUAACACAUGCAAGUCGAACGAGAACGGUUUCUUCGGAAACCUAGUACAGUGGCGCACGGGUGAGUAACGCGUAAGUAAUCUACCCUCGCAUCUGGAAUAACUACGGGAAGCUGUAGCUAAUACCGGAUACGUUCAUAGAGUUACGACUCUAUGAAGAAAGAUGGCCUCUUCUUGAAAGCUAUCGUGCGGGGAGGAGCUUGCGUACCAUUAGCUAGUUGGUAGGGUAAUGGCCUACCAAGGCAACGAUGGUUAGCGGGUCUGAGAGGAUGAUCCGCCACACUGGAACUGGAACACGGACCAGACUCCUACGGGAGGCAGCAGUGAGGAAUAUUGCGCAAUGGGGGAAACCCUGACGCAGCGACGCCGCGUGGAUGAUGAAGGCCUUUGGGUCGUAAAAUCCUGUCAGGUGGGAAGAAGUGCAUAUGGGUUAAUAUCUCUUAUGUUUGACGGUACCACCAAAGGAAGCACCGGCUAACCCC